CCCUUAGAUGUUCUGGGCUGCACACGCGCUACACUGAAGGAGGCAGCGUGUACUCCUGGAUCGAAAGAUUUGGGUAACCCGCGAAUCUCCUUCGUGCUAGGGAUUGAGGUUUGCAAUUAUCCUUCAUGAACGAGGAAUUCCCAGUAAGUGCAAGUCAUAAGCUUGCGCUGACUACGUCCCUGCCCUUUGUACACACCGCCCGUCGCUACUACCGAUUGAAUGAUUUAGUGAGGACUUCGGACUGGGACCGAUGCGGCUUUCGGGCUGCGUCGGUAUUCUGGAAAGAUGUCCAAACUGUAUCAUUUAGAGGAAGUAAAANUCGUAACA
rnacentral:rRNA from 1 species